AAUUUAGAGAACAUGAUGUUGGUUCAGAUCUAAUGCUAUGUAGAGACAUAACACAUGCAAGUUAAAAAUAUUUAGCGUUAAGGUGAGUUUUAUAAGAUAAAAAAAAAUCUUAUACAGAUGUAGGUAAUAGAUAAAUAAAUCUAGCCAUGGAACUGGAGCCGACGAUAAGCGUCACAACGGCCACAUUGAUAAAAAAUCAACUCUUAUAAAGAGCAGCAGUGGGGAAUCUUUGACAAUGGUCUAACGACUGAUCAAGUUAUCUACGAGAAAAAUAUUAAAUAUAUAAAACUAAUAAAAGAUUAACUAUAAAUUUCUAAAUAAUAGUAAUAAUGAUACUAAUUAUGAAAGAGUCCUAACUAAAAUAUGUGCCAGCAGCUGCGGUUAGACAUAGAGGGCAAGCAUUGAUCAGAAUGGCUUAAAGGAUCUGUAGAACGUAUUUUUAAAUAUAUAAAAAUAUAGAAUAAUAAAAGGUAAUAAGAAUUAAAGUUAGAGGGAUAAAAUACUAAGAAAACAUUAAGACUAUAAAGAGAUUACUUAAAUUUAUUGACGUUGUGAGAUGAAGGCUACGGUAGCGACAUGGAUUCGAUACCCAUUUAGUCGUAGCAGUAAACUAUGAAUACAAUAAAAGAAAAAUUAAAAUGAAUAGUAUUCCGCCUGACUAGUACGCUCGCAAGGGUGAAAUACAAGACAUUAGACGGUUGUAGUCCCAAGCAGUGGAACAUGUCAUUUAAUUGGAUGAUCCUCCAAGAACCUUACCAUCUCUUGAAUUAUUAACAGGCGUUACAUCGUUGUCGUCAGUUCAUGCCGUGAGGUUUAAUAUUAAGUUAUUGAAUGAACGUAACCCUUUUCUUUUAGAUAAGUAUAUUUGUAAAAAUAUAGGAAGUAGAGGUUGAAGACUAAUCAUGAUGACCCUUAUGAGAUGGGCUAUCGACGUGUUACAAUAUUAAUAACAAUUAUAUUAAUUAAAAAAAAAUUAAGUAAUUAUAUAUUAUAAAAUAUAUAUAUUAAAUAUUAAGAAAAAGACAUAGUUUCAUUUAUGGAUUGUAAUCUGAAAUUCGGUUACAUAAAGGAGGAAUUGCUAGUAAUCGUAAACAAUAGAGUUACGGUGAAAUUUUUUGCUACUUCGUACUAACCACUCAUCAACAGCAAGAAAUUUAUUUUUUACUUAUUGAGUUCUUAUUUAAAGGACUUGCUGUAAGUUGAAAUACGGUUCGGUUAGGGGAACCUGAUCGGGAUUUAUUUAUUUA
rnacentral:rRNA from 1 species